GCACUAUAAACAGGUAAUAUAAUCAACUCCGGAACAUUUUUUCCCAAACCUUUCAUCCUCUCAUAGAGAGAUUGGCAUGCAAAAUCAAUCUCCUCCUGACCAGUCAAGAAAAGAAGUAUGUCACCUUCAGGUUCUGUCAAGUGGAUUUGUAGCACAGUGAUCAAAGCUGCAUCUAAAUAGUCACUUUCUGGCUGUUUGGUGUACAAUAUCUCCACAGGAAAAGUUCUCCCAGGAAUUGUGAAUAUGUUACAGUUGAAGAAAUAUCCUGAAAAUUUCUCAGCAUCUAGUGUGGCAGAUGUGACAAUCAAGCGAAGAUCAGGUCUCCUCUUUACAAGCUGUUUAAGUAACCCAAAAAGGACAUCAGUGUGGAUUGUCCUCUCAUGAGCUUCAUCAAGCAUUACCACUGAAUAUUGAGAAAGAUUAUCAUCAAUCAGAAUCUCCCUAAGUAGCAUGCCAUCUGUCAUGUACUUGAUCACUGUAUCUGGUCCAGUACAAUCCUCAAAACG
rnacentral:misc_RNA from 1 species